AGUGAACGCUGGCGGUAGGCCUAACCCAUGCAAGUCGAACGAGUGGCGGACGGGUGAGGAAUACAUCGGAAUCUACUCUGUCGUGGGGGAUAACGGAGGGAAACUUACGCUAAUACCGCAUACGAUUGUAUGAGCCGAUGUCGGAUUAGCUAGUUGGCGGGGUAAAGGCCCACCAAGGCGACGAUCCGUAGCUGGUCUGGGGGGAUGAUCAGCCACGCGGGAACUGAGGCACGGUCCAGAAUCCGACGGGAGGCAGCAGUGGGGAAUAUUGGACAAUGGGCGCAAGCCUGAUCCAGCCAUACCGCGUGGGUGAAGAAGGCCUGCGGGUUGUAAAGCCCUUUUGUUGGGAAAGCGGUACCCAAAGAAUAAGCACCGGCUAACUUCGUGCCAGCAGCCGCGGUAAUUC
rnacentral:rRNA from 1 species